rnacentral:rRNA from 1 species
CCUACGGGAGGCUGCAGUGAGGAAUAUUGGUCAAUGGACGAGAGUCUGAACCAGCCAAGUAGCGUGAAGGAUGACUGCCCUAUGGGUUGUAAACUUCUUUUAUAUGGGAAUAAAUUGGUCCACGUGUGGGAGUUUGUAUGUACCAUAUGAAUAAGGAUCGGCUAAUUCCGUGCCAGCAGCCGCGGUAAUACGGAGGUUCCGGGGGUUAUCCGGGUUUAUUGGGUUUAAAGGGAGCGUAGGUGGAUUGUUAAGUCAGUGGUGAAAGUUUGCGGCUCAACCGUAGAAUUGCAGUUGAAACUGGGAGUCUUGAGGACAGUAGAGGUGGGCGGAAUUCGAGGUGUGGCGGUGAAAUGCUUAGAUAUA